rnacentral:rRNA from 1 species
GACGAACGCUGGCGGCGUGCUUAACACAUGCAAGUCGAACGGAAAGGCCCUGAUAUUGUGGGGUGACCGAGUGGGGAAGGCGUGAGUAACAGGAGAGUAUCGUGCCCUAGUCUUUGGGAUAGGUUAAGGAAACUGGGGUUAAUCCAGUACAGCAGCCGCCCUGCCAUGGUGGGGGUGGGAACUUGUGGGCGGUUUGGGUUGAACUCGCGGCUUUGCGGUUUGUUGGUGGGGUAGUGGCUUACCAAGGCUUGGACGGGUAGCCGGCCUGAGAGGGUGACCGGCCACAGUGGGACUGGGAUACGGCCCAGGCGCCUACGGGAGGCAGCAGUGGGAAAUAUUGCACGAUGGGCGGAAGCCGGAUGCAGCAACGCCGCGUGCGGGAUGACGGCCUUCGGGUUGUAAACCGCUUUCGCCUGUGACGAAGCGUGAGGGACGGAAAUAAGUAAAGAAGCACCGGCAAACUACGU